CCCCCGACUUCAAAAUUCAAAAUUUUCCAAUGGCCACGUUCCUCUUUCGCCCCCCUUUUCACAGCGGCCUCCUUCCCCUCCGCCGCCUCCUCCCCCAGCCCAAACCCCUCUUCCUUCCCAGUAGAACCCUCCGCCUCCGCUCCCCGAGACUCACCAUGGCCUCCUCGCCCCCGCCGCGCCCCUUUCCCCCUCGAAGCUCCCUCCGCCGGGGCCCCCGAGUCGCUCCCCGCCGCCGCCCGAGUGGCCCUGCGCCCGCUGCACGCUCCGCAACCCGCUGAGCGCCGCCGCCUGCGCGGCGUGCGACGCCGUGCGCCCCGUGGACGUCGACGGCGCGUCGCUGGGCCUGUCCGCCGUCGUCGCCUCUUCGUCGUCUCGCCCGCUCCCGCCGGCCCAGUGGUCCUGCGCCCGCUGCACGCUCGUCAACCCCGGGAGCUCCGCCGCCUGCGCCGUCUGCGGCGCCGCGCGCCCCGUGGUCGUUGACGACGGCGACGAGCUGGACUUCUCCGCCGUCGCCGGCGCCUCGUUCCUCCCGCUCCGUCGGGACCCGAGGAACAUAGGCCGCUCUGAUGCCGCGAUGAAGUCAGCUCGCGCGCCGUCGCCGGACGCUGUCUGCGAGCGCGCCGGCUCGAACGAAAGGGAUAAGACUGCCGCCGAAAAAGGGUGCUCUGGGAAGAGAGGCCACGCAGCAACGUCAGACAUCGUACACGAGGGCGACGGCUCGAACGAAAGGGAUGAGACGACCGCUGAAAAAGAGUGCUCAAGGAAGAGAGGCUGCGUGGCGUCACCAGAUAUCGUCCAUGAGGACGCCGGCUCCAAUGAAAGGGAUGAGACAACCAACGAAAAAGUAAAUUCUGAGACUCAUUUGGAUAAGAAGACCAUCAAAGUCAUGACAUACAACGUAUGGUUUCGGGAGGAUUUGGAACUGACAAAAAGGAUGUAUGCUCUUGGAAAUCUUAUUCAGCACCACAACCCAGAUCUUAUAUGCUUCCAGGAGGUUACACCAAACAUAUAUAUGCUUCUACAAAAAUCUGGCUGGUGGCAAGAAUACAAAUGCUCGCUGUCAGCUAGGAUGGCCAUGCAGAGACAGUAUUACUGCAUGCAGAUGAGCAAGUUGCCCGUGAGUUCAUUCGAAUGCAUCCCAUUUUCCAACUCAGUCAUGGAAAGGGAGCUGUGCGUGGCAGACAUCAACAUUGGAGGCGCGACCAAGUUGGUGUUGGCCACAAGCCACCUGGAGAGCCCCUGCGCGUGGAAUCAGAUGUACAGCAAGGAACGAGUAACUCAGGCGAAUGCAUCCAUGAGGAUAUUGGACAAGUUCCGCAACGUGAUAUUCUGCGGAGACAUGAACUGGGACGACAAAGGCGACGGGCCCUUCCCUCUCUCAGACGGCUGGCUCGAUGCCUGGGCUGAGCUGAAGCCAGGUGAGGACGGCUGGACGUACGACACGAGGGCUAACGGCAUGCUGGCAGGCAACCGCAAGCUGCAGAAGAGGCUGGACCGGUUCGUGUGCAAGCUGCCGGAUUUCGAGAUCGACACCAUCGAGAUGAUCGGCAAGGAGGCGAUACCUGGGAUAUCACACUACAAGGAGAAGACAGUCCGCAAGGUAGUCCAGAACAUUGAGUAUCCUGUGUUGCCUAGCGACCACUUCGGGCUUGUUCUGAGCAUCACCUACGCAUCAUCAGGUUGAAAAGUAUGGUGAAAAAACGUUCCCUAGUAGAAGUAGUAGUAGUAGUAGUGGCGGUGAAUUUUGUAGCCCAAUGGAAAGUAUGUAUGAAGUAUCUCUACCCCUGGUUGAGAAGAUAACUUAGAGACCGUUUCUGUCCCCUACUGUUUACUUCAGUUACUGGGGAAACGUUC